AUUGAACGCUGGCGGCAGGCCUAACACAUGCAAGUCGAGCGGAUGAAGAGGGCUUGCUCUCUGAUUCAGCGGCGGACGGGUGAGUAAUGCCUAGGAAUCUGCCUGGUAGUGGGGGACAACGUUUCGAAAGGAACGCUAAUACCGCAUACGUCCUACGGGAGAAAGCAGGGGACCUUCGGGCCUUGCGCUAUCAGAUGAGCCUAGGUCGGAUUAGCUAGUAGGUGAGGUAAUGGCUCACCUAGGCGACGAUCCGUAACUGGUCUGAGAGGAUGAUCAGUCACACUGGAACUGAGACACGGUCCAGACGCCUACGGGAGGCAGCAGUGGGGAAUAUUGGACAAUGGGCGAAAGCCUGAUCCAGCCAUGCCGCGUGUGUGAAGAAGGUCUUCGGAUUGUAAAGCACUUUAAGUUGGGAGGGAGGGCAGUAAGUUAAUACCUUGCUGUUUUGACGUUACCAACAGAAUAAGCACCGGCUAACUUCGUGCCAGCAGCCGCGGUAAUAC
rnacentral:rRNA from 1 species